CUGGCUCAGGAUGAACGCUAGCGACAGGCUUAACACAUGCAAGUCGAGGGGCAGCAUAAAGUAGCAAUACUUGGUGGCGACCGGCGCACGGGUGAAUAACGCGUAUGCAACCUACCUAUCAGAGGGGAAUAACCCGGCGAAAGUCGGACUAAUACCGCAUAAAACAGGGGCACCGCAUGGUGAUAUUUGUUAAAGAAAUUCGCUGAUAGAUGGGCAUGCGUUCCAUUAGGUAGUUGGUGAGGUAACGGCUCACCAAGCCGACGAUGGAUAGGGGAACUGAGAGGUUGGUCCCCCACACUGGUACUGAGACACGGACCAGACUCCUACGGGAGGCAGCAGUGAGGAAUAUUGGUCAAUGGGCGGGAGCCUGAACCAGCCAAGUCGCGUGAGGGAAGAAGGAUCUAUGGUUCGUAAACUUCUUUUGCAGGGGAAUAAAGUGCAGGACGUGUCCUGUUUUGUAUGUACCCUGAGAAUAAGGAUCGGCUAACUCCGUGCCAGCCGCGGC
rnacentral:rRNA from 1 species